CAAAAUGCCUCCAUGCGCGCGCUCAGCCUCACUGUUGUUCACCUUGGCUCGCCGCACCGACGUCCGUCACCGUUGCCGGUGUUGGAUUAUACAUAACCACCACCACCAUUGGAUGCGCCGUGACAAGCUAAUCACGAACAUGGGACUGGAAUAGGCAAAUAAUCACAACUUUGGUUGAAUUGAACCUAAGCAGAGAGGAACCCUAACAUUCGAAACUCAAAUUAAAUGGUGUAUGUCUCAGACCAAUCCCUACAACUAUGGGGCUUCUACUUCCUAUCAUGGAUACUACACCUUGGCAUGCUCAGAGCAAGUAAAUGAUGCAAAAUGAAAAAUGACAUACCGGAGAAGAUGAUCGGAGAAUUCGCCGGUUGAUCAAUUGCUUGGUUAUGAACUUUGCACUUCUAAUGGACAGGUACUGUUAUGCCUGUGCUCUGGUUCAAAGCUUCAUUGAUGUGAUAGGAGAAUGCAUUGUUGUUUAUUAGCUAUACAUUGCAGGGUGUUUUGUAAGCCAUUACAAGUCUAGGUUUUCCACUGUCUGCACCAGCCCAUUGGUCGUAAUUUCUGCUCAUGGCUUUGCUACACUACCAAUGAUGCUGGUUGCAGGUCUUGUGUUAUGGUUGAGUUGCAGGAACUGCAUGGUUUAGCUUGAGUUUGAAAUAGGUUUUGGGUUUGGCUCGAUGCAAGUUGGUACAGUCAUGGUGUUGCAAGGCAAUCUCAUGAUCUUGUUGUUGUAGAACUGCUUCUGCAUUGCUAGGUUUUGCUCAUCUGUCAAACAGUUAUGGUAUCACUGAAGUAGGGAGAUUAUGGAAGCAGGAAGCGCCAAGUGAAUGCUCACAACUGGUCAUUGCAGGAUGCUGUGAAAUGCUGCUAAUUCCAGGCCAAAGUGUAGCAAUGUCAAAUGUGUCCACUGCAGGUUUUUAUGGGGAGUUUUCAUGUGACAUUAAAUGCUGGAAAUACCCAAAUGGAAUUUCUCAUGCAACCAUGGUACCCAAGAUGCAUUCCACACUGGUCCCCUUCAUUCUCCUGUUCAGCUUUAAGAAUUCAAUCAAAGCCCUAACAACAUUGCUACUAACAUGUGAUGGUUUUCGUGUGAUCCAAGGUCUGUGAGGUUUUUGUUUGGCUAGUGCAAGGAUGAUGCUUUUGAAUUUCCCUUAUAGGGUUCUUGACCAAUGUUUCUGACUUGGUGAUUUGUCUCAUCUACUGUCUUUUGAUUGCUACAUCCUUCAUGCUUUGUUGAUGUUGGAUGACCAAGGAUGUUGGUCAGAGUUGGUGUGUAGUCAUUGAAUAUCUUGUGUUGCCCUGGUAUGUGAUUUUUGUUGCUAGGUUUAGGCAUUUGGGUGCAUAUUGCAUGAUGGCCAUAAUGUGCUGUAGGUAUGUGUUGUGGUUUUUACAGGAAGCUUGACUCAUGUUGAUGCAAGUUUACAUAGUUAGAUCUGGCUGCAAUUAUGACUUGUUAGGCAUGGAUUUGGUAAGAUUGUGGAUGCUGCAAGUCCCUGUAAUACUACGUGUUUGCUGCAGGAUUUGGUGUUCCUUGUUUCUCAUGCCUUACGGGUCGUAUUUGCUCAUGUUUGGACUGCAAGUUGAUGUCCAAUGUGGUGGCUUGGUCAGGAUGUGGUCUGCUGCAGGUUCAGGUCAUGUGUGCAUGAAAGAAAAAACAGGAAGUGUAUUGCCAUAUCUCACCAUGGAUUUUGAAACAAACAAGUGCAAGGUGCAAGUCUAAUAUUGUCAUGGCUUUGGAAGAUUAGACUAGAAUGGGAAAUUUUAGGGUUUUAGGAUGAGAAUUUAAGGUAUUAGGGAUUUGGAUUGACUUUGGUCAAAGUUGACCAAAAAGUCAACUAUUGACCAAAGUCAACAUUUGGUCAAAAGUUGCCAAGACUUGUAAUUUUUCAUGUAAUGAUCAAUGUGAUGGUUUAUAUAUGGAUAUUUGGAUGUUAAAUGGUU